UUUGAAGAUGGGAGUCUCACACUGUUGCC
rnacentral:piRNA from 1 species